rnacentral:lncRNA from 1 species
AAGGGAUUUGUGGUGAGAUGCAUUUGAUGUCAUGAUUCAAACCACAAAUGUGGUGAUUGUGGAUUAUAUGUAGAUGCUAUGAAGAAUGAUAUUAUUACCUUCAAAGAAGGAAAAAUUAGAAAUGCUAGAAUGGAUGAGCUUUUAUAGUCUAAUUUGAUAAAGGAUGUAUGAAAAAAUUGAUAAAAAUUAGAUUGAAGAAGAACAAAUCC